rnacentral:rRNA from 1 species
UGAGGAAUAUUGGUCAAUGGGCGAGAGCCUGAACCAGCCAAGUAGCGUGAAGGAUGAAGGCUCUAUGGGUCGUAAACUUCUUUUAUAUGGGAAUAAAGUGCAGUAUGUAUACUGCUUUGCAUGUACCUUAUGAAUAAGGAUCGGCUAACUCCGUGCCAGCAGCCGCGGUAAUACGGAGGAUCCGAGCGUUAUCCGGAUUUAUUGGGCGUAAAGCGAGCGCAGGCGGUUUCUUAAGUCUGAUGUGAAAGCCCCCGGCUCAACCGGGGAGGGUCAUUGGAAACUGGGAGACUUGAGUGCAGCAGAGGUAGGCGGAAUUCGUGGUGUAGCGGUGAAAUGCUUAGAUAUCACGAAGAACUCCGAUUGCGAAGGCAGCUUACUGGACUGUAACUGACGCUGAUGCUCGAAAGUGUGGGUAUCAAACAGG